rnacentral:tRNA from 1 species
GACUCCGUAGCUCAGUUGGUAGAGCAAAUGACUCUUAAUCAUUGGGUCGUGGGUUCGAGUCCCACCGGGGUCA